GUGUAUAGUUGCUUUCUGAACAUACUGUAUAAUUAUUACAUCUUGAAAAUGUUCUUGUGCCACACUUUCAAGAAGUGUUACAUAUAUAGUCGAUAUAUAUAUAUCGAUGGUAAAACCAUAUUUAUUUUUCAUUACGAUGAUAGUCAUGUGACGUUUUACUUCUCGUUCAACAUGGCAGGGUACUUUGUUCGUUUAUCCCAUUCUGAAGUAAAUUUUUCGGAAUAUCUUUUUAUCGGUGCCGCUUUUACCUAUAGUUCUAUUAUUAUUUUUGACUAGUUUGAUAACAUAUAUCAAGUGAUAUCACAUUUGGAAAUUUCGUGAAAAGCAGAAUCCAGCCAAAUAUAAUUUAUGUUCUUAAUUAUAUUAAAUUUUAUUGACAC
rnacentral:lncRNA from 1 species